UAAUACAGUUGAGGUUUGCUUUUGGAGUACAGACCAGUUAAAAUUCUGAUUCAAUACAGUGGAAAUUUAUUUGGAAAUGCAAUCUUGUUUAGCAUUCUGAUUAUAUCUCCAUUUAGCUUGACUCACGUCUUACAGAAGAAAAAAUAUUAUUUUCUAGAUAAAAUGUUGUUAAACCAUUGUUUAUAAAAUUUAUAUACUUAUGACAUAAAAUAGGUAACUACAUGAACAGAUUAAUAUAACUGACUAAGAAUCAUAUUACAGUAUUCAUUUUUUGCUUCUGUUUAAUUCCAGGGUAUAUCAUGCCUUCUGUGUUCCCUCAGGAUAUUGAUGCUUCUCCUCAAAAAUGAAGUGUACUCAAAGAUACUUUUUCUUUUGACUUUUUCUUGUUGAUGUUAGGUGCCUUUUUCAGAUUUUUCAAGGAAAUGAAGCAUGUGUCUGAAAUUGGGCCUCUGAGGACUAUUAAUGAGGUGUCUAAAAAUCAUCACAGAUGGGCUCCCAACCACAUAAAAAAACAAUGGCUUACAGAAGUUCUUCUGUAUUGCAGGUCACCACAGGGGAAGUACACUCCAUUUCAGCGGUGAACUUUAGUUAGCAGAUACCUUCAGACAAUUAACUCUCCUCCAACUCUGCUGAAUUUGCCUCAUUUAUAACAGUCCCAUCUACUCAGCAUUUCUCUGAUUCCAGUUAAUACACUGAUCUAGCAAAAUAAUUGAAAAUUUCAUGUUAUCACACACCGCAUUCAAUAAAUGAUUUUUUUUCUUUAGAAGUAGUGUUCAGAUUUUAGUAAAAAUCAAAUAAAAGCAAACUCAGGUUUGGAAUGAGAGCCAGAGUCCAUAUCAAUCCAGGAAAUCAGAAGUUUGGAGUCUUUUUAUAUCUUUGUGCAUAUGUACUUGUCUACUCUCCAAACAAAAUAGAAGAAAUUUCCUGUUUUUUUAUUGUCACUUUGCUUUAGUUUUGUUUUUUAAGUUCAAAUUUAUGAAGAUUAAGAGUCACUAUGUGGUUAGAUAUAAUUCUAUGUCUGAAAAAAUUGUUUAUCUUUGUCUAAUAUUUCUCUAGAUUCUUGUUCCUAGCUAUAUUAUAUAACAUUGCAUAUUGUACAGCAUAAUCUGCCAUAUUUAUAUCACACCCUGAAUAUCCAGAGCAAAGCACUAGCAGGAUCUUUUUUAUGUAAAUAUUAUUUUCAUGUGCUCUUUUACCCAUAGCACUUCUACUUAGUUUAGUUUUAUUUUGCCAUUUCUUACAUUACUAACAUAAAAUGCUAUCCUUAUAGCAUUUUAUAGCAUUUCCUUAUAUCCUUACCUCUAACUGUUCAAUACCUGUAUUCCAGUCAUGAUUAUAAUUGCCAUUUUAAAUCAUAUACUGUUACUCUCUAUGGAUACUUGAUGCCAGAGAGACCACUUAAGUGAGUGACAUUAAUUGCUACUUUACACUUUGUCAUGGUCAAGUGUAUUUAACACAUCUUCUGUUGUUAAAGAAAAUCACUAGUAAUAAGAAAAUAAAUUUAAAAGAGUAAAGUAAGGAAACAGAAUAUGACGAUUCUGUGUCUGUUUCUUGUUCCUCUUUUUCUAAUAGGCAUAACAAGGCUUCAGGUUACAUUCCAUAGCUAUGCCAUGUUUUACUAUUCAAGGUGACUGUUAACUCAGUUCUUUCUGGCAGGACAAAUUAUUCAUCUUUCAAGUUUUCUUUCUGACACAGAAAUUGAUUACACUAGAAAAUGUGCCUAGCAGCCUUGAAAUGGGUAAUGGAUACACGGAUACAAAAUGUAAAGAAGGAGUAGCAACACACCUAAGCUCUUCUGCAGCAUCUUGCUAACAGAUGGGAUCUGUAACUCCAGUCACCAGUGCUUUCAACUCCAACACAUUUAAGGGAAAGGAAGGAUUCACCAAUCUAUUCAUUUCUCAUUAUUCGAAUAGAGGGCUGUUUACAUAAUGUCAGCACAUGGUUACCCUCUGCUGCAGUCGUUGUACUACCUCUUGGAAAAGGUGAAGAGGUUACAUUUUUAUAUCCCAUAGAGAUGUUGAUUAAGGAAAGAAAGAAAGGAAGAAGCUGCUUCUUAACACCCAAGAAAAAAAAAAUAGCAAGCAUCAUCACACUCACAUUUCUGACACAAGAAAUGGAUUUUUCUGACAGAAAACAAUGAAUUCAAAGCACAAAUGCAUGCAUAUUGUCUAGGGAGAUUGACAGUCUGUGAACAUUUUCCCUUCCCACUGGGUAAUGUCUUUCUUUUCUUUAAGUCCUUAUUCAUCUCUUAUCCAAAAGCUGCCACAGCAUGAUUAGUGUCCCAGAUUUCCUUGGCUACUUCUUAAGGCUUCAUUAACUGCACCUAAGAAAUGAACGUAAUGUAGCCUGCAUGAAAGUCUGAAAAUGUACAGCUGUAAAUGAGCACUUAUUGGGUAAAAAAAUAAGGAUCCAUGAACAAAAAAAAAUUUGAUAACUACUGUUUUAGGCAUUGAAUUUCUAUCAAACAUAGAUUUCUAGGUGUAUCAUGUCUAUCACCACUGCUGAAGAUUAGUUUUCCUUCCUCAGAGAUUUAGUCGAAUAUAUAGGCUUAGAUGAGUAUUUAUUAAUUUUUUCCUGUAUGUAUGUGAAAUAGCAAAUUGUAUAUUCAGGUAUUUUGCUUCCUGAUCUAAACUGUUUUGAAAACAACUCAAACCUUUGAACUGCAUGAUGGCUUUAUUCAGUUUUCCUUAAGCUUUUAAAAACUAGUAGAACCUUAAUACCUUUUCUGUCUUAAAAGAAGAAUUCUAUUUUAAAAAUGUAACAUUUCUGUAAAAAAAAAAAAAAAAAAAAAGAAUUCUUAUUGUAGAGUAAGUGGAAUUUUAGGAUCCCAGGACUUUUGGUCUGUAAGUACCUUUUAUAUUGCAUCAUAUUCUUCCUUCACAAGAAGCCAGAUACCCUCUGUUCUGCCUCAGUAUCUGCUACCUAUGCACUUGAGUGGCUCUUACAAAAUGAAGUGGCUCCUGGUACUGAAAUUCCCUCCUUUUUAGCUGCAUUCUUGAGGGGAAUGUAUCUGCUGGAUACCUUAUUGUUUCAGUUGCAAUACAAAGUCUACUCAGACUCUAUCCUGCACUUAAGAACUUAAAUAUUAUGAAUAAACAAUAAUUAAUCUGAGUGAAUACUGAAGUUGAAAUGCAUCUUCUUUGAAUGUUUAUGUAUAUGAGCCUUAUCUUAUGCAUAUGGUUAAAGCAAAAUUUAUAUUUUGAUUUGGAAGCAACAGCAAAAACAACAAAUAAAAAGACAAAGAAUUUACUAUUUUUUAAAUAACAGAUUAAUGUUGCAAUGAAAUGUGCAGUCAUCCUUUUCAAUGCAGUCAUCAUUUUCAUUUCUGGGAAGGAUAUCAAUAACUGUAAUUACUACAUCAGCUUAUAACAUGAGUUCUCUACAUAAUUCCACAAUGUUUUUCUUCAGAAUACUGUAACUGGAAAAGACCUUGUAUAUUUGAGGAAGGUCUUGCAUUGAUGAAAUGAAGCCAGCUGUAGAACAGUCACAGUAUAUAGGACUAUGUAGCAGAACAGGCAGAGCAAAAUUAUUGUUGUCAGCUAAUAUGCUCAAGAGAGAUAACAUGAAAACACAUAUAUUUAUAUAUUUAUUUGUAUAUAGCUGAGCAGCUUACCUAUUUCACAGCUAUAGUCAGCCUUAGUAAUUUUGAAGGUCAUAAAACAGGGUAAGACUCUUAUCUAAAAUUUUACUUUGACAAAAGUAAAUAAUCACGCUCUUACAAAACCACUUUCCCCCACUCCCAACGACCAUUAGAUGGUGAUACUGACAAAAUAAAAAUGGUAUCUAAACUGUCCUUGUAGGUCUAUCUUUAAAAUGACUUUAAUGAGGAAUGUUAACCAAAAACAAUUAGUGUAUCUAUUAAUUAUCUGCAUGCAAUAGUUUUUUUCAUCAUUUGUUUUCAUUACAUAAUAUACAUCUUCUGUUUGACAUAAUAUAUUAAAUCAAAUUCUAUGUAAAGAACCUGAACUUUGAAACUAUUCUUGUGAGAUACCCAUGGCAUUCUGAACAUGACUGUAGACAUGGUAUACAGAGUGGAACCAGCAUGUUAAACAUGAAAUCAUCUGCUUUUACAGAAAUACUCUAACCCUUGUUAGCCACAAAGAUUUUGAACAACCUGAGUAUUGUGCACAGACAGUCAGCUUGUCAUUAAUACAAUACAACACUACUUUUCUUAUUUCUGACCCAAUGUUUAGAUGGUUUUCAUUUGGCAGUUCUCAACUUUGCUCUGUUUCUGAAUCUCAGGUGAAUGGUAACUUACAGUUAACACUGUAACUUCUAUGUGGGACUGUUAGGUUUUAUUAUGUUAGGUUAGGUAAUUCACACCACUGCUGGUGAUGUUAUGAAUGGCUAGCAUAUAAUGAACACAUGUUUAACUUUAAGUAAAUCACAUACACUGACACUAAAAAGAAAAUUAUAAUUUGUGCUGCAUAAGCCUAGACAGUUAAAGCAGACCUAUUAAAAACUGUACUGGUCUAAGUGUAUUUGAAAUGUUUAUUUCUGCAAGGUAACUAUAUAAAAAAACACAACUAAGUAUUUAUAUAAAUCAGCAAGUAUGCACACACAGAAUGUAGAGAUAAGGUUGUGUAUGUAGCGGGGCUGUAUAGCAAACAAAACUUCAGGCAUAUAUGCCUAUAUGCCAAUGUAGGCAGGUAAACAUGUUCUUUUAAAGACUAUAUAGUGUACUUCUACAUCUGGAAAUUCUAUGCUAUUUAAAUUAAGCCUGGGUUUUGGUAAUUUUGGAUCUCUGACAACUUUUUACUUUAAUCUUUAAGCUGGGUUUUCGACCUUCUCAAAAUAGUGUGACCAGACCUAGGAUCAUUGUUGAGUUCCCAGAACCCUUUCAGAAGCCUUUAAAAAAGUGACUGACUUCACAGAGCACAUCACAGAGGAUUUCAGAUUACACCACACCGGCACCUGGAGACCAUCUUCCUUAUGCCUGAGAAGUUACAAGAUGGUAUUUGUUCAUACACCACUUCAGCACCUACACAAAUAUGAAUUCAGAUAUGGAUCCAUUUUCAGAUGGUGUACUGACCUAAUUUACUCAGACACUACAGUCUUUCUCUAUAUCAACUAUCUGAUGUGCUUGCCAAGCCACACUUCAUCAUAGUUGAAAAGUCAGAGCUGUCAGGAGAAGUCCUCGGUAACUGAAAAGAUAAACAUCACUUCUGUUUUCAAGAGAGAAAGGAAGACCUGGGGAAGGACAGGC
ensembl:lncRNA